GGGAUGAUAUUGUCUUCAAAGAUCCACUCAACACUUUCACUGGCAUUGAGAAUUAUAAAUCAAUCUUCUGGGCUCUACGAUUCCACGGCAGGAUGUUCUUUAGGGCCUUGUGGAUUGAUAUUGUUAGUGUAUGGCAACCUGUGGAGAACAUGAUAAUUUCACUGGCAUUGAGAAUUAUAGAUCAAUCUUCUGGGCUCUACGAUUCCACGGCAGGAUGUUCUUUAGGGCCUUGUGGAUUGAUAUUGUUAGUGUAUGGCAACCUGUGGAGAACAUGAUAAUAGUUCGGUGGACUGUUCAUGGCAUUCCCCGUGUUCCAUGGGAGAGCCACGGUCGCUUUGAUGGCACUUCAGAGUAUAAGCUUGAUAAAGAUGGGAAGAUUUAUGAGCACCGCGUUCACAAUAUUGCUUUGAGUGGACCCCCGAAGUUCCAUGUACUUGCUGUGCAGGAAUUAAUUGAAUACAUCGGCGGCGCCUCAACACCAAAGCCAACUUUCUUUGAAAUCUUUUCUUCUACCUUGAGGAACAUUGCUCCAGUAACGAAAAUUUCAAGCUUGAGGCGGAACCUGGGCUUAAUUCUAGCCUCCCUAAAGAGAAUUGAGGAGGAAAAGUCAGAUCAAACAUAGCAUUAUGGUGAAGUGCCAAAAAU
rnacentral:lncRNA from 1 species